rnacentral:rRNA from 1 species
GACGAACGCUGGCGGCGUGCUUAACACAUGCAAGUCGAACGGAAAGGCCCUGCUUGCAGGGUACUCGAGUGGCGAACGGGUGAGUAACACGUGGGUGAUCUGCCCUGCACUUCGGGAUAAGCUUGGGAAACUGGGUCUAAUACCGGAUAGGAACCAUCUUUAGUGUGGUGGUUGGAAAGUUUUUUCGGUGUAGGAUGAGCUCGCGGCCUAUCAGCUUGUUGGUGGGGUAAUGGCCUACCAAGGCGGCGACGGGUAGCCGGCCUGAGAGGGUGUACGGCCACAUUGGGACUGGGAUACGGCCCAGACUCCUACGGGAGGCAGCAGUGGGGAAUAUUGCACAAUGGGCGCAAGCCUGAUGCAGCGACGCCGCGUGGGGGAUGAAGGCCUUCGGGUUGUAAACUCCUUUCGCUAGGGACGAAGCUUUGUUGUGACGGUACCUAGAUAAGAAGCACCGGCUAACUACGUG